UUAUUGCAUUGUACACCUGAUCUGUAAGAGGUCAUCAUUUAAUUUUACAAUAAUUUAAUAGCUAAAUUUCUUAUUUUUUCAAUGUGGUCAAUA